UUACAUUGAGGCCACAGUCGAUAGUGCC
rnacentral:piRNA from 1 species